GUGACGGGAGACCGGCCCCACCCGCGCCGCGGGAUGGUGCCCGGAGGGGACGCGCUCGGACCCGGUUCCCCAGCCGUCUGGGAAGGUGGCGGCCGCGUUCGCGCAGGAGAGCGGGCAGCGCCCUAAUUUGACGUCCUUUCUCCUCCUGAGCUGCACUAGCUUCCGAGGCUGUGCAGGGUCUCCACCUGGGUUACCAUCGUCACCGCCCAUCGCGGGAAAACGAGAUUCACCUGCCGCCAAGCCCUCCCGGCUCUGGCUUUCCUCUAAGGAGCUUUGAUUGCCCUCCCAAUUUUUCUCUCCAGCUACUUAAGGGAACCGGGCAACCUUGGAACCACUCGAGCUCUAGAAGAUAUUUCGAUGCCAAGGCUCCCCCAUUGCGACUAUCCCUGGGCCUUUGUCCUGGCUAGUCCCCUGCCAGCUCGCUAUUUCCUCUCGCGGUCUCCAAAUCUUGCCAUUUCUUCAAGACUCGGACGGAAGCCUCCCUCCUGCAAGAAGCCUCCCCUGACUGUCCUGGAGCAGCCGACCGCGCGGAGCCCGCACCCUCGAGCGGUCGGGCUAGUCUGCCCAACGAGGCAACCACCUUGCCCACGCCAAGGCCCACGCCAGCUCUCUUGGAGCUCCGGGAGGUUAUCCCCACUUGAUCCCUCUUGUCAGUGGCUCUCAAACAGUAGAAUCACGGAGAGGAGACUUUAAGAACAAAAAUACGCAGGGCUCUGCUGCUGCUGCUGGAAAUCUGAUAUCAUAGGUGAUGAAAUUGGUCUGGUCUAGGAUCUUAGCUUGGGUAUUUUUUAAGCUCCUUUCCCAUUCUAAGAAUCACUUGGGAAGUUAUUUGUUUAAAUGCUGAUUCUGUACAGCUCCUCAAGAUUCUGACUUAAUGGAUUCUGGGGUCUGGUUAGGAAUCUUCGUUUGCAUAUCACACACACAUACACACAUACAUAUCCUGGUGUAGAUUGUUCCGGGACCACAUUGUAAUUCUCAUUACCUUACCACCCUCUUACAAUGUGGACUGUAGCUCUGCCCCUGCAUGCAUGCACACACCCCUGCUCGCUCACUCGCUCGCGCUCUCUCGCUCACUCGCUCGCGCUCUCUCGUGCGCUCUCUCUCUCCCCCCUCCCCCCACAAGGUUUGUGUUCUCUCAAAGGAGCAUGUAGCAUUGUUCUUUCUUCUGGUUCCUCAAUUGAUUCUCUACUUCAGCACCUCUGAAAUGUGAAUGUGCAGGUGCAUACCUGGGCUUCGUGUUAAAAGGCAGAUUCUAACAGUUGGUUUGGGAUGGAGGCUGAGAUUCCUUGCAAACCUCCAGGUGCUGCUGAGUUGCUGAUCUGAAGACCACACUUGGAGAAGUAAGAAUCUAGGAGUUAUUUAUUAUUCAUGGAAUAAAUAUAUUUUCCUUCAAGUUCCAGCUGCCCUAGUUCACUAAGCCAUUCUUGUCUCCUCCAGAAAGAUUUCUCUGACUCCAGCUCCCCCUGGGUGCUCCUUUUUGUGAACUGUAACUGUUUAAUAAUUCACUGCUUAUUUCAAGUGUGAGGCAGGAAAUGUGGUGCUUGUCUGAUCCUCGUUUCCACUCACCCACCCACAUCUACCUGGAUGCCAAAGACACAGUGUUCCCCCAAUCUCUACUGAUUGGGAGAUAAUAUUAGCUUACAUUCUUGGAGGACAUACCGCGUGCCAGGCACCUUGCUAAGUGUUUUACGUGCAUUGUCUCCGUUACUCAACUACUAUCCUUUACAAAGGAAGAAAUCAAGGCAAGUCUCCUGUUUAAACUCUAGAACCACAGCCCACAGUGGUACCGCCCCCUAGGGGAUAUUUUGGAAACUUGCAGGUGCUUUAAUUUGUUACCCCAAUGAGGGGCAGAGCUAGGCUGUGGCAUUUAGUAGAGGAGGGUCAGGGAUACUGGGGUCCUGCCUUGCACAGAACGUUGCAGCACAAUGAAGAUUAUUAGUGUCCCACAUGGCUUUUAUAUGUCAGGCUGGACAUUUGGGUUGGUUAAAAUGUGCUUCUAAUUACAUUAGAAUCCUAACUCUGUUUUACAUAUAAACACAAAAUAUUUUGCACCACACUGAAUUUUCUGUAAAUGCAACUGUAUACGUCCAGGGAAAAUCGCACUUUGCUCACUGUUUUGGAAAAGCAGGAUACUGAAGCCAGUUCCACUCAUGGCCUCUGAGUCAGCAAUCAAUACAUCUGUGCCAGUCGAAUGUAUAACUGCCACACGGGCCCAGUAAUUCCAUGUACAUGAAUAUUUUUAUUUAGUUCUUAUUUCAAAAUGUCAAAAAAAGGUGUCAAUAAUAUUCCAGAGUCUUGUCUUAAAUUAUAAGUAGGUGCAAAUACCUCACUACUUCCCUUUGACUUGUGAGGCAAUUCUGACUAAGCAUCUAUAAAAGCAAAUACAUAUUAGACUUUUUUGGCUUUAUUUUUAACCCUCCUUUAUUAUGAUUAUGUCAUUAUAUUGAUGUUUGAGCGUGUAAGUGUUAGCUAUGAAAUCCAUUUCUUGACCACCUAGUGAAUAAUACAAAAUAACCGUUCUCAAAAGGGAGCCCUAAGUAUCACAGCCAAGAGGAGCCUAAGAAGACACAACUAAAUGUAACACGGUAUUCUGGAAAGGAUCCCAGAACAGGAAAAAAACAUUAAGUAAAAACUAGGAGUAUCUAACUAAAGCAUGGGCUUUAGUUAGUAAUGAUAUAUCAAUUAUGGUUCGUUAGUUGUAGCAAAUUUAUCAUACUAAUAUAAGAUGUCAACAAUAGGGGAAGCUGGGUGCAGCAUGUAUAGGAAGUCUCUGUACCAUCCUCUCAAUUUUUCUGCAAAUCUAAAACUGUCCUAAAAAAUAAAUUCUACUUAAAAAAAAAAAAAGGUAAAGUGGCAAGAGGAUAGAGGGAGAUCGGAAGGCUUGAGUCUAGAAGGUAGACAUCCUAACCUUAAACUAUGAAUGCCCAUUACAGAAGAGAGACCAUAGAAAAACAAAGUAUAUGAGGUACUUGGAAACUCUAAUACGGUCAUCCAAAGAGAAAUGUUCACCAACAAUGGCAAGAAAGAUAGAACAGGACAAGAAUUAAACUAAUAUUUGUAAUAUUAAGCCUCUUCCACUGGCUUUUACCAGAAUGUAUUCUUAGUAUCUUUAAGGAUUUAAGAAAUUUUACAAAUUUUGUGAAAUCUCAAAUUUUCAAAUCACCAGGCUUCCACCAGGACAUUUGGGAAAGGCACAUUUGGGUAAGAGCUUAUAGACAUAUAACUUGACUGUUGAAAGAUGAGAAGUUAAGUGAUGGCUUCUUUUUUAUUCUUAUCUAUUCUUUUUUGUAAUUUCAGUAAAUGUCUUUAGAUCCCUAGUCCUAGAAAUACACACAGACAAGAAAAGCCAAGAGGCUGAAGGAAACAAAUGAGGCAGGAAGGGCCUCAGCUGGCACGGAAGUCACAGUUAAUCUUGCUGGAGCCACCUGCUGAGGGUCAUGAGUCCUAAAAUGCUCCACUAAGAGUCCACUUAGUCACCACAACCCUAUGAAGCAGGUAUUAUCAGCACCCCCAUGUUGAAGAUAAGGACACUGAAGCUCAGGUUACAUACCAUUGCCAGCGGACCCAGCAGUGGAGCUCCGAGGACAGUGCCCCUAACCACUGUGCUACAAGGCCACUAUGGAAGAAUCCAAAGAUGACCAAGAGGAUGGCUUCUAUACCUGAUUACCCUACAUCAUAUUUUAGAUUAAAGUAUACUGUUUUUA